rnacentral:rRNA from 1 species
UACGUAGGGACCAAGCGUUGUUCGGAUUUACUGGGCGUAAAGGGCGCGUAGGCGGCGUAUUAAGUCAGCUGUGAAAUCUCCAAGCUUAACUUGGAACGGUCAGCUGAUACUGACGUGCUAGAAUGCAGAAGGGGCAAUCGGAAUUCUUGGUGUAGCGGUGAAAUGCGUAGAUAUCAAGAGGAACACCUGAGGUGAAGACGGGUUGCUGGGCUGACACUGACGCUGAAGCGCGAAAGCUAGGGUAGCAAACGGG